rnacentral:rRNA from 1 species
CGGGUGCGUAACGCGUGAGCAACCUACCUCUAUCAGGGGGAUAGCCUCUCGAAAGAGAGAUUAACACCGCAUAAUAUAUCUGACCGGCAUCGGUUAGUUAUUAAAUAUUUAUAGGAUAGAGAUGGGCUCGCGUGACAUUAGCUAGUUGGUAGGGUAACGGCUUACCAAGGCGACGAUGUCUAGGGGCUCUGAGAGGAGAAUCCCCCACACUGGUACUGAGACACGGACCAG